CUGUGCAAACAUUUCAACAGGUACCUUAUUGUACUUGAUGACUUGUGGGAUCAAUCAGCAUGGAAUACUAUUAGUCUUGCUUUUUCAGAAAAUGGAAAUGGGAGUAGAAUAAUAGUAACGACACGAGUGGAAGAUGUGGCUAGUGUGGCCUGUCACAAUGACCGUAAGUGCAUUUACACAAUGAAGCCCCUCAAUGAACAGAAUUCAAGAAUGUUAUUCUCGAAUAGAGUAUUUGGGUCUGAAGUUGUUUGUCCACCCUAUCUUAAAGACGUUGCAGCUGAAAUUCUGAAGAAGUGUGGCGGAUUGCCUCUUGCAAUUAUCACUAUAGCUAGCCUAUUAGCUACUCAAGUGAGGUCAAGGAAACACUGGGAGAGCAUAAGGAAAUCUCUGGGUGCCCAAUCUGCCACAAAUCCUUCAUUGAAAGAGAUGAAUAACAUAUUAAACCUUAGCUACACGCAUCUUCCUCUUCAUCUCCGGGCAUGUUUUUUGUACCUUGGUAUGUAUCCUGAGGACCACAUUAUAUGGCGGGAUCAUCUGGUUAGACAAUGGAUAGCUGAAGGCUUCGUCAGCAGUUUGCAUGGGUCAGAUUUGGAGGAUAUUGGCAGGAGUUAUUUCAAUGAGCUCGUCAAUAGAAGUAUGACUCAUCCAUCAAAAACUGAGUAUGGAGAGGUGUUGUCUUGCACAGUACAUGACAUGAUGCUUGAUUUGAUCCUAAUCAAGUGUGUAGAAGACAAUUUUCUAAGUGUGGCGUACAAUUCUGACGACAUGCAAGUACAAUGUUCGCAGAUUACCGAAAAAGGCUUUCGCCCCGCUUUAUAG
rnacentral:rRNA from 1 species